AUUUCAAGGACUAAACUGUUAAGUUGCAAAAAGAACAAAAUAAAGAAAACCGAAAAUUUCGGUUUUAUCCCACCGCCUCCCACUCUCUUCAACAGAGAGAGGAGCGGUGGGGCGUGGGGAGAAGAAGAGAGGAAGAAGAGGGAGAAGAGAAGAAGAAGAAGAAGAGAGGAGGAUAGCUGCGGCAAGGCUGCAGCGAGGAGGUGUGUGGCGUUGGGGAGGAAAAGGGAAGAGGAGAAGAAGAGACGAAGAAGCAGAGGGAAAAGAGAGGGAAGAGGGAGAGGAGCGAGAGGUGGCAGCAGCUAGGGCUGCAGCACCUCUGUUUCCUGUAGGUGGAAACAGAGGAGAGGUGUGGGGCGUUCGAAGAGGAGAAGAAUAAGAAGAGGAAGAGAAGAAGAAGAGGUUGUGAUACCUCUGUUUCCUGCAGAGGAAACAGAGGAGAGGGUGUGUGUAACGCCGGGGAGGAGGAGGGAAGAAGAAGAGGAGAAGAAGAGAAGGGAAAGGAGGAGCUGCGGCUN
rnacentral:lncRNA from 1 species